UACGUAGGGGGCAAGCGUUAUUCGGAAUUAUUGGGCGUAAAGAGCUCGUAGGCGGCCUGUCGCGUCGGAUGUGAAAGCCCGGGGCUUAACCCCGGGUCUGCAUUCGAUACGGGCAGGCUAGAGUGUGGUAGGGGAGAUCGGAAUUCCUGGUGUAGCGGUGAAAUGCGCAGAUAUCAGGAGGAACACCGGUGGCGAAGGCGGAUCUCUGGGCCAUUACUGACGCUGAGGAGCGAAAGCGUGGGGAGCGAACAGG
rnacentral:rRNA from 1 species